rnacentral:tRNA from 1 species
GGUCCCAUCGUCUAGUGGCCUAGGACAUCGGAUUUUCAUUCCGGUAACACGGGUUCGACUCCCGUUGGGACCA